GGCUCUGCUCCUUCCGCGCUAGGAGCAGCCUGUGGCUGAAUGAGGGGCCAGCUGAGCGGUGGCCCUGGGAGCCCUGCCCCCACCAGGCCUUGAACUCCAUGAAGACUCAGCCCGUCUCACUCAUCUCAGUGCCCACCGCAUGCUAGGUGCAUGCUGUACAGGUCAGAGCAGGGGGUCCGCAAACAGGAUUCGUUAAGGGCCAAACUUUAAAUAGUUUAGGCUUUGAGGCCCACGGGGUCUCUGUUGCAACUCGUCCGCUCUGCUGUUGUGGCGUGAAAGCAGCCAUAGAUAAUACAUCAAUGAGUACCCUUGUGUUUUCAUAAAACUUUAUAAAAACAGGCGGAGGGCCUGGUUUGGGCCCACAGUUUGCUGACUCCUUGGGAGAAGGAUAAAUGUGUCCUUAACAAUAGACUCUUUUCUUCCCCAUAUGUUAGUCCUGCUGUCUGUCUGCCUCCCCCCGGCCCCCUCAGUGCAGGUAGAUGAUGCAGCCUGAGCGCUCACCCCCGGCCCAGGCUCCUGGGCAGUCUGGAAAUGUGGGCCAGGGAAGGCGCUGGCCUCCCCGGCCUGGCUGGGCAGCGGGAGUGUGCGCUCGCGUGGACGGAUGCAUUCGGGCGCCCAUCCAGCCUUGCUGAGGGGCACUCACACCCCCACCCACGGAUGACUUUUCGGGGCUGAGCCCACCCCCAGGAAUACUGGCCGCCAGCACCAGGCCAGCAGGGCUAGAGAGUGAGGGUUUAAGGUGUUCUUAGCCAAAGAAUUUCUGGUGGAGAGAUUGUUUGUCGUAAAUUCAGGGGCUCUGAUGGAUGAGAUUCAGGUCUCCAGGCUUUGUUCACCCCGGGUCUGAUCGGCAGCGAGUCCAAGAAAGCUUUCGGCUUCAGCCGAGCCCUCUAGCUCCCACCUCCGUGGUGGGCUGGCCUAGGGCGGGACCCUGCAGGGCCCUGGCCCCUAAGCUGAGUGCCGGGAGUGCCAGCAUCCCUCUGCCCAGCCCCACCCAGCUCUCUGUGCCAGGGACGUUGGCCCCUAACUGGAAGCGGACCUGGCUCUUCAGGCCCUGGGGCCAGCCCCUCACCGCCAGCCCCAGCCGCAGGCCUGGUAUGUGCCCAGCGGCUUCUCUGUCGGAGGGAUUCCCCAAGUUAUGCUGGGACUACUGCCCUCUGCCCGACCACCUCCCUCCCCAGGCAGGGUGGGAAUGGCUCAUAGUUUCCUUUCUAGAGCAAAUUCCCAAUCAGGGUGCUAUCUGAACUGUGUUCCGAGUGGAGCCUGCUCACCCUGCAGCCGCCCCUGGGAAUCCUGAGAGCUUUUCAGCCCCCAGCGGCAGGGGCAGCUCCUCGCUCAUUGAUGUGCUCGGCAGCAGCUGGGGAGAGCUAGGGGCUCCGGGAAGGCCCGAGGAGCUGGGCUGCGGACUGGUGUGUUUGGCGAUGGGUUAACUGUUGUCAGAGCCAAGCCCAGAUGGUCACCUUUAUCCGCUCAGCGCGGCAUGGGGAGGGGAGAGCCUCUGACCAGAGCCUGGAACAGCCCUCCUGACCUCACCUUGUUCCUGAGCACCUAGGCCAGACCCUGCCUGUACCACGGCCAUACGGUGGCCCAGAGCAGUGGUUCUCAAACUCGAGGUUCCACUUGAGGAACCUGUUAGGACUGCAGACUCCCUAGCCCCCAGCCAACCUCGGGCUCCAGAAUCGGCAUUGUUAAUAAGUGUGUGUGAUACAGGGGGUCCCAGGACCAUGCUGCCUGCGGGCUGAUAGGGAAAGCAGUGUGAGGAUGAGGGGGGGGGGGGGGCGGAAGGGGCCCAGAAAAGCACCCAGAAGAGGUGAGUAAAUCUUGAAGAAGAAAGCAGAGGAUGGUCUUGAUAGCUUACCCAAUCAAAUGCUUCGUACCAGGCACGCUCUCAGCCUCUGAUGGGAAUGGACUCAUUUAAUCCUCCAACAACCCCACUGAUCGCAGAAAGGACCAGACUGAAGCCCAGAGGGGUGGGGCACUUGCCCAGGGUUCUGUGGCUGGUACAUGGUGAACCGGGUCUCACCCUCUGACUCCAUCCCACUGCACUGGGGCCAGGGCACCAGCUCACACAGAGGCUGUGCAGACCCGGGGCUGUGGAGUAGGCAAAGCAUGAUGGGGUGUUGCUGCUGAAUGGCUCAGAUCCUAGUGUGUGUGGACAGCUUGGGGUUUGCUGGUGGUGUGUAUCGCCGUGACCUUGGUUAGGGCAGGAACCUUUGAGUGAGGUGACAGUUGCCGUGAUGUCGUUUUGAGAGGGCUGAGGCCGUGGCUGGGGUUCCCAGCGUGUUUCCUCGCAGUCUGAACACGACAGGACCUGGGGUGUGGAGUGAAGGUGCAGGGCCGUGCUCAGGGAGCAGCCAGGGGGAAGAAUUCUCCAUGGCCAGAGCCCUGCCCAGCCCUUGGGGUCUGAUGGGGAAGGGGGAAGAUGCUGGGAGAGGGAAUCCGCUCUCGUUAAGGAGCCAGCUAAGAGCUUUGAAUCCUUCUUCCCUUUAAUUCUCAGAUCCCCUGCAGCCUGGGCUGAUCUAGUCCUACUUCCAGGGAUGAAGGCCGAGAGAAGGCUGAUAGCAGAUAGAGGCCGGGUCAGUCCUUCGGGGAUUGUGCUUUUCACCACAGCGGGGGCCGCCAUGUUCUGAGUGGCCUCGGGUCCUGCCACACAGCUGGACCAAUGACCAGGCCCCAAGGGUAUGGUGCCAGUCUGGUUGGGGAGGCUCCUGGCAGUCAGCUGGGCAGACUCCAGCCCAACCCGGGCUCUGGGUAGAAUGGCCUGGCUUCAGGGGACUAGUUACCUGAGUGGUUGCGUUCCUUGUGGUGGAGUUCAGAGGAGUCAGCGUCCUGGGUUCUGUGGACUGGCCUCCUGUCGGGGGCCCUGAUGCUGGGAAUUGAGCGUCUGCUGCCCGGAGGACCUGGGGGCAGAGGGGAGCACGGAUUAGAGGAGGACCCUAGAUCAGGCGUGGAUUCCGGAAGCCCUUUCAGCCUCUCAUAGGCAGCACAAUCGGUCACAGCCCCUUCCCUGUCUUGUUGGCCACUCUGACCAUCCCCUCACCGUACCCCAGUGUCUUCCAGCCUGCGCCUCCCAGCUCAUUGAUUUGAACGUGGGGACCCACGGAAGUCUUGGCUCAGCAUAGGCUGUUUUGGUGGAGGAGGGGGAAUGUCUGACUCCCGGCUCCGGCCCCUGGGAAGCUGUUGCCUUCUGCAGAGGGAGGGCUGUGCUGUUUCCCAGUCUUGCAGCCUCUUGCCUCUCUCCGGGGACAGAGGGUCCGUGACUGUAAGCUUUUCAGGAACAGUGGAUGUGACAGAGCUGAAAUGCUCUCACUUCCUCUUAUGCUUUUUCUUUGAAAGGGGAGAGACAGUAGUGGCCUCCUGGGCCCAUUUUACAGACAGGGUAACUGAGGCCACGGCUGCUGGCGGGAAGCUGAGCCAGGGCCGGUCCCUCUCAGAAUCUUGUGUCUUUAAGCUCUUGUUUGAAGAGGGUUUAGGGCAGGGGUGGGCAAACUUUUUGACUCGAGGGCCACAAUGGGUUCUUAAACUGGACCGGAGGGCCGGAACAAAAGCAUGGAUGGAGUGUUUGUGUGAACUAAUAUAAAUUCAAAGUAAACAUCAUUACAUAAAAGGGUACGGUCUUUUUUUUUUUUUUUAGUUUUAUUCAUUUCAAACGGGCCGGAUCCGGCCCGCGGGCCGUAGUUUGCCCACGGCUGGUUUAGGGAGAGGAGCAGCUGGUGUCUGGCUGGGGUUGGUCUCGGGGCACGUCCCAGGGAUCUCUCCUACCUGAACCAGGCCUGGCGCCUGCGGAAGUUAAUGCCGGCUCUUCUGGCUGUGCGUCUGCAUCAGGCCCGGGACUGUCAUUUAGGAGGCGGGUCUCUGCAGGGGAAGACGGGGCCUGGCAACCCUUCUCCUGGUCGCACCGCAUCCUCUGGUCUUGGGCUGCCCUUGUCCACUUGCGAUUCCGCCAAGACUGUAGUCCACGGCUGCCUGUGGGCAGAAGGCACCGGGUUCUGACUUGUCUGGGUGGAGCAAAGACGAGUCCUUCCUGGGCGUGCCCUGGGGCAGUGAGGCCAGCCACUGGCCAGACCAAGCACUGGGGAAAGUUGUGCCACUGUGGAGACCCGCGGCCCCCUACCCAGCAGAGCGUCCCCUGAGUGGUGGGGAGGCGGGCCAGGGUCACGUGAGGGGACACCAUCUUCACGCACCUGCCGGCCAGUCGACUGCGGACUCACCUGGAGUUGUCAAGGACAGCAAGAAAAAUAAGGGACUUUCAGGGGCAGCUGUGUUUUCUGACUCAAGUCAUAAUGCCCCUAAAAAUCCUUAUUGCUCUUGCAGUGGGCAUCGGGCAGUGGCUGGCAACCCACCCCUCACCCACCUGGCCGCUGAGGGAUGGGAAGGGCUUCCAGGGGUCCAAUUGAGACUUGCUGAUUGUUAAAACGCGUUCGUUGGGCCGAUGCAUUGCCUGGCAUGUGUGUUGACCAUUGUUCGGUGGGGGAUUGGGCAUCCAGCUGUCCUGCAUGGAUUGGAGAGUCUCCUGGGUUUGUGCGGGUGAAGGUUCAGAAGGGCCCAGCUGCACGUGCAGGGCACGAGGAAGGGCGGCCUUGGGGCCAGGUAGGUCGAGGGCCACAGUGUUGGGCUGGCUGGGUGCCCCCUGGGCAGGAACUGGCACUGUGUCUUAACACAGAAAGAGCCUCAGUUCCCUCCCUCAGACCCCGUGAGCUGGCCAGUUUGCAAACACGCCUGCAGGGGGUUCAAGCCUCCCCUCCCCUCUCCCUAUUUCACUUCCUGAAUCUCCUCCAUUCUCAGUAGGUGCCCCCAACCCCACCUCUUCUGUCCCCACCCCACAGCUAUUUCGGUUAAGCCAAGGCCUUGAGUGGGGAUUGUUAAGCAGCCAAAAUAUCCAUUUGUGACAUGCGCACCCCCCCUCCCUUAACCCAGGAACACCAGUCCACAAUCAUGUCACCCACCCACCCUGGCUGCCCUGGCUGGGUUGGUUGGGUGUGGUCCCAUGCACCAAAAAGUCCCUGGUUCGAUUCCCGGUGAGGGCACAUACCUAGGUUGCAGGUUCAGUUCCUGGUCUGGAUGCAUACGGGAAGCAGCUAAUCAAUGUUUCUCUAAAAUCAAUAAAAAACAUUUUUUUUUAAAGUCACCAAAUCCCACAGCAACAGAAUCUUCCUGUCUAGCUGAGCCCUGGGCUGCCCGUGGAUGGACAGACGAGGCAGUGAACAGGCAACAAGCCCCAUCUCAUGUCCCGUUGACCUACCGGUCAGCAGGGGCGAGUCACCCUCCAGGUAUUUCUCAGGUUCCCUCCCAGGUGCCGACUUGAAAGCCCUCGUCACUCAAGAAGACCGUAUUGGAACCUUGACCGCCAUGAUCCUCAUUCCUGGCCAGCCAGGCCCCUUGCUGCCCGGGCCCCGAUCGUCUGAGCCUGCCUCCACACCAGCUCUCCCAGACAGUUUCUAAGGAGCUGGAUUUGCACCGGAUCCUCCUCAUUUUACUGCCCCAGGGGAGGGGCAGCUCCAAGAUGGUCCUCAGCUGAUGCUGUUAAGCAGCCAGAGCACUCUCCGCUAUCUGCCCACAAGCUAGAGGUAGGAGAAGGCUGCUCCAGCUGUGCCCCCAGAGGCGGAUCAGGCGAUGUGACCAUUUGCAGUUGGCAGACUUUCACUUCCUGCCUUUUCUCGGCUGCUCGGAGUUGUCCUUUGAUCCUCAUUUUACAGAAGGAAGACGGAGGCCAAGGAGAUCAGGAGACUUGCCCGAGGACACACAGCUAGGAUGUGGCAGAGGUGGGGUUGAGGUCGGCGGCUCCUGACUCCCAAGGUCAGUGCUCUGUCAGUAAUUGUUAUUUGUAUUUAGCUUACAUAGUUAUAACAAGCAUAUCAAUGCUUACUAGCCCAUAGGUUACUGUGAUGAUGAAAUACUGGAGGUGGGUGGGUGCCACUAUCUCCUGGAGGGUGUGUCUGCCUCACAGGGAGACUGGGGGGUUGUCCCUCAGUUUCCCCAGUGCUGCGUGCACUGGCCAGCCUGGACCCGCAGCCCGCCCCACUCAGCCCGCUGCACUGCCCCAUGUUCAGAGCAUGCAGGGGGCAUGAGGCCCAAUGGUUUCCUGCUCGCUGCCUGGACAGAGGCGUCUCAGGAGCACAGCCUGCGUGGGGCUUGCUCCUCCGGGCCCUGCUCCAAGCUGGUGGCCCUUAAGGAUCAGGACCCCUGCUGGGGUCCAUAGGCCUACUGUGCCUGCCCCCCUCUUUCCUACAGAGCUGGACUCCGAGGACCUGCGGGUCAGCUGGGCAGGAUGCCAGUGCAGAGAACUAUCGGGCAGGCUCAUUGUCAGCUCCAGGAAGCGGUCGGCUGUGCCCGGGCAGGGCUGCAGGCCGGAGGGCCAGCCUGCCUCGGACAUGGCGGGUGGAGACAGGAGGUGGGAGCCCAGAACACCACUUUCCCAGGCUCCGGGCCAGGCCCACGGGCUUCCUUUGGCCACACCUUCCCUCGCUGGGCCUGGGCGCGCUCCUUCCUCCGUCUGGCUCUCGCCCUGCUCCCCGCCCAGCUCUUUGCGGCAGAGUGCACACUCUUGGCAACGACACCCAUUUAACCUGCUUCCCAGAAAGCCGGAUGGCCAGGCAGGCGUGCUCAGCCAGCCCCGUGAUGGAAAACAGGGCGGUGGGCCCCCCUCAGGCGUCUCUUGCCCGUAUUCCUUGGGGGCUGGAUUGGGAGAGAGUUCUGCACCGCCUUGGCUUUCCUGGGUCAGGAAUAAUCUCAGCUCAGUUAGCAGCCUGGAGCAAUCAGGCUGAGCCACGAGCUUGGAGCUCCUGGAAUUGGGGCAGGGCAGGGAGACAAGCCUUUGCCAGGAGUCUGAUCCAGGGCAGCCACUUAGCAGGGGCCCUGGGUAAAGCCCCAUCUCUUUGAGCCUGUUGCCUCAUUGGGCACAAUAGUGCCCGUAGGAAGGCGCUACAUUAUAGGCGUAUUCUGACUGUAGAUAUGAAGUUGUCGCUCCCUCUCCCUCCCCUUCACCCGAGAACUCUGGGUGGGGUCUGGCAUGGAGAAGAUGCUCACUUAACGCUAGGUGCGCUGCUCAGGAAGUGAGGGUUGAGUGUCAGCGUGCUGGGUGGUACCUUAUUGUUCUUGAUCUCUGAAGGGACCCCCUUUUGUCAGCUUUCUCUUUGGCCUUCCUGCCCAGACCCUGUUAGGAUGGUGGUUCUAAAUUAGAGGGUUCUAAGCUAGAGCCCUCACCCCUUUGCCCUGCAUUCUGGCCCACAGAGGGAUCCUGUACCUCCUCAAGUUCAUCCUACAAGUCCGGAUGCUCAGUUCCAAAGCAUUCCCCCUGGGCCUGGGCCAGAGUAGCUGCUACAAAGCUCCUCCCACCCGCCCACCUCCUCGGGGUGCAGACAGCCCAGCACAGGUGGGAAGGGCUUUCUGGUGGGGAAGAGGUUAGCACUUGAUUUCUGUCUUGACUCUUGUCUCUAACAGGCAGAGCCCGUGACAUCACAGAAAAGCAGCGUUGGAGGACCUUGAAUGAGUCUGGGGCCUGUCCCCACCAAGUACCCCUGGUGUUCAGGUGGGGCCAGUCCCACCCCCUGGCUUGAGAGGCAGGCACGUGUCCCAGGAUGGGCGCUGAGACUUCCCCUCGGGACUUUUGCAGCAACUAUGAGGAAAGAGGCAUUCGGUUUUUGUGGGAGUUGCCAAGCAUGGAACUGCUGGUGGCCAUCCUGUUCUCUGCUUGAGGAUAAAGCCAACAAGGAGCAAAGAGAAGGCGAGUGUAUUCUAUCCAGACAUCAGUAAGCCCCUGGAUCAAGCCAUGCCUGAAGCCAACUGCACCCCUGGACUAACCUGAUUAUAUGAGCCAAUGCCGUUUUCUCCGAACACUGUCUGGAGUUGGGUUUCUAGCAUAGAAAGGGUCCUAAGAACGGAAAUGUUUUUCUUUGAUCUCAUUUUUAGAAAGUCAACAUUGAGGCAUACUUUACAUGCGAUAGAUUUCACCCAUGUUAAGUGUCCAAUUCAUAAGUAGUUACAGUUACAGCCUUGUAACUAUCACCAGCAUUCAAGUUCCCUCCUUCCCCUUUAUGGCCCAUUUUCCCAACUCCAGAGAACCACCAAUCUACCUAUCUUCUAAAGGUUCAUUUUGCCUUUUCUAGAAUUCCAUAUAAAUAUCACAUAGUGUGUUCUCUCCUGUGCCUGGCUUCUUUUAGUCAACAUGUUUUGGAGAUUUAUUCAUGUUGUUGCGUGUACCAAUAGUUCAUUCCUUUUUGUUGCCAAGUACAGUGGGGCCUUGACUUACGAGUUUAAUUCGUUCCGAGACCGAGCUCGUUAAGGAGCUCGUUAACUCAAAUUACUCUAUCAGCUCAAUGCAAAAAAUUGGCUGAGAGACAGCUGGUAUCUCAAAAAACUCGUUAGUCGGGACACUCGUAAGUCAAGGCCCCACUGUAGUGUUCUAGUGUAUGGACAUACCACAGUUUGUUUAUCCAUUUAUGGGAUGAUGACCAUUUGGACUAUUUCCAGAUUUUGGUUAUUGUGAAUAAAACUGUUAUAACAGUC